GCUGGCGGCAGGCUUAACACAUGCAAGUCGAGCGGUAGCAGAUCUAGCUUGCUAGAUGCUGACGAGCGGCGGACGGGUGAGUAACGCGUAGGAACCUGCCCGGUAGUGGGGGAUAGCCCGGGGAAACUCGGAUUAAUACCGCAUACGCUCUACGGAGGAAAGAGGGGGCUUCGGCUCUCGCUAUUGGAUGGGCCUGCGUGAGAUUAGCUAGUUGGUGAGGUAAUGGCUCACCAAGGCGACGAUCUCUAGCUGGUCUGAGAGGAUGAUCAGCCACACUGGGACUGAGACACGGCCCAGACUCCUACGGGAGGCAGCAGUGGGGAAUAUUGCACAAUGGGCGCAAGCCUGAUGCAGCCAUGCCGCGUGUGUGAAGAAGGCUUUCGGGUUGUAAAGCACUUUCAGUGGGGAGGAAGGCCUCGUAGUUAAUAGCUGCGAGGAUUGACGUUACCCACAGAAGAAGCACCGGCUAACUCCGUG
rnacentral:rRNA from 1 species